rnacentral:rRNA from 1 species
GGAUGAACGCUGGCGGCGUGCUUAACACAUGCAAGUCGAACGGGAAUUACUUUAUUGAAACUUCGGUCGAUUUAAUUUAAUUCUAGUGGCGGACGGGUGAGUAACGCGUGGGUAACCUGCCUUAUACAGGGGGAUAACAGUCAGAAAUGGCUGCUAAUACCGCAUAAGCGCACAGUACCGCAUGGUACGGUGUGAAAAACUCCGGUGGUAUGAGAUGGACCCGCGUCUGAUUAGGUAGUUGGUGGGGUAACGGCCUACCAAGCCGACGAUCAGAAGCCGACCUGAGAGGGUGACCGGCCACAUUGGGACUGAGACACGGCCCAAACUCCUACGGGAGGCAGCAGCGGGGAAUAUUGCACAAUGGGGGAAACCCUGAUGCAGCGACGCCGCGUGAGCGAUGAAGUAUUUCGGUAUGUAAAGCUCUAUCAGCAGGGAAGAAAAUGACGGUACCUGACUAAGAAGCCCCGGCUAACUACGUGCCAGCAGCCGCGGUAAUACGUAGAGGGCAAGCGUUAUCCGGAUUUACUGGGUGUAAAGGGAGCGUAGACGGCAUGGCAAGCCAGAUGUGAAAGCCCGGGGCUCAACCCCGGGACUGCA